rnacentral:rRNA from 1 species
GAUGAACGCUGGCGGCGUGCCUAAUACAUGCAAGUCGAGCGAACAGACGAGGAGCUUGCUCCUCUGACGUUAGCGGCGGACGGGUGAGUAACACGUGGAUAACCUACCUAUAAGACUGGGAUAACUUCGGGAAACUGGAGCUAAUACCGGAUAAUAUAUUGAACCGCAUGGUUCAAUAGUGAAAGACGGUUUUGCUGUCACUUGUAGAUGGAUCCGCGCCGCAUUAGCUAGUUGGUAAGGUAACGGCUUACCAAGGCAACGAUGCGUAGCCGACCUGAGAGGGUGAUCGGCCACACUGGAACUGAGACACGGUCCAGACUCCUACGGGAGGCAGCAGUAGGGAAUCUUCCGCAAUGGGCGAAAGCCUGACGGAGCAACGCCGCGUGAGUGAUGAAGGUCUUCGGAUCGUAAAACUCUGUUAUUAGGGAAGAACAAAUGUGUAAGUAACUAUGCACGUCUUGACGGUACCUAAUCAGAAAGCCACGGCUAACUACGUG